UAUACAACACAUAACAAGAAAACCCGCAGUACAAUACUAAACCUCCGGUUCCAUAGUACAGAUAGCAGAUACAAUUUUUCUUUCACUGAAUACAAUCUAAGAAAGAAAAUGCCCGUCAAAAUACACAUCGUUUAUUGUGGUGGAUGAGGGUACGCCCCCAAGUUCCGCAAGCUGAAGCAGGAACUUGAAGCUAAAUAUCCAGGAAAACUGGAGAUUUCGGGUGAAGCAACACCCAAUACCUCAGGAUGGUUGGAGGUUCAAAUUGUUGGAGGAGAAGUGUUGCAUAGUAAGAAGAACGGGGACGGAUAUAUUGACUCCCAGGCCAAGAUGGAUAAAAUCUUCGCUGGGGUUGAGAAGGCACUGGAGUCCGCCUAGGUCUGGUCUAAGGAGUACAAGGAAGCAGAGUUGAUAAAAUGACGGAAGGAUAUUAAACUCUCCGGAGUAAAUUCAUCCUGAUAAACUUUAUCCCGAGUUGAACCUAUAGCUGGGUUCAGGUUCGGAGAAGAUCAACCGAACUUCUGCAGUACGAUCCUUCUCUAGUAUUCAUAGUUGAUUUUGAUGUAUGAUUAUUAACAUGUAAAAUAUACAUAUAUUUUAAAA